CACAUUUUCAUUAUUAGAUCAAAGGAGAAGGACAUUACAGGAAGUAACUUGCAAAUGAAAUAUCAAAAUUGGCUGGAGUAUACACUUUCAUUCUAAUCAAAUACCAUUCUCUUUUUCCAGAAUCAAUAGAGUAAACUGAAGAAAGGAGACACGUGGUCUGAAAUUAAUACAGCUGGUGAAGUCAGACUUAAAGCAGGUAGAAUUUUUGAAACUGCUUUCCAAUCACUUGAAAUGAAGUACAUAAGAAAACCUCUCAGAUAUUAUAGGCUUUGAUUGCAGUGUGAAUGGCUGACUUGAAACUGACAUCAACUACUUCUUGGGGAAGACAGCUGAACACAAAAAGGAUGUUUGCAAUAAGCUCUUCUGUCAAGAAUCAGAAUUUAAUGAAAAAUAAACACCACCAGUGGAGUCUUGCCCGAAAAGUUGAUGUAACAACUUCUUAGAAUUGAUGUGAGCUACUGUUAUUGAAGCCAAGGUGAUUUCUUUUUCCUUUUUCUCUUUUUUUCCCUCUUUCAGCAUCCACAAAUAAUAUACAUAGUCAAAUAUUAAAAGUAGAAAUGUAAGGUUCUGAUAAAGUAAGUUAAAAGGGAAAGUUAUAGGUUUUGGAUGAACUCUGUUUAUAAUAAACUUAGCAUUGAUUUUCAGUUAAUAUUGCUUCUAAAUGUUAUAUUUGGUAAAUGACACUAUUUUAUGACUUUAGUUGAAAGUAUCUUACAUUCCUG
rnacentral:lncRNA from 1 species